CCAUUUCCAUAGUGACGCUGUCUACACUCCACUCCAGUUGGCACAGCCGCCCCGACACCGAACACCGCGUCGUUAGGCAACAUCCCACAGCCACUAGUCUCGCCUCCAUGACCACCGCAUUGUUGUCUCUUUGGUGCGCCAAAUUUUGUGCCAAUAGGUAGUUUACUGCAAGAAUCAUCGCCAAAUUUCCUUGGUCCACCGCAAGAAUCAUUGCCCCGUUACCGUUCUCGCUGAUUGAAGAAAUUUAAAAAGGAAGACAAGCAACUUUCAGAAAGGAACAGAAGCAUAUAUGUGAAGAUCUAAUUCUUUGCAAAGAAGUAAAUUGAAAAAAUGGAUUUAUAAGAGCAAAGGACAACCCACAAUUCAUGAGUGAUAUAUGUUUUCUAUGCUCGUUAGCAAGUAAUUUAGAUAAUUGGCUAGAGAUAAACUUCAG